rnacentral:rRNA from 1 species
ACCCGCUGAACUUAAGCAUAUCAAUAAGCGGAGGAAAAGAAACCAACAGGGAUUGCCUCAGUAACGGCGAGUGAAGCGGCAACAGCUCAAAUUUGAAAUCUGGCUCCUUCGGGGCCCGAGUUGUAAUUUGUAGAGGAUGUUUCGGGUGCGGCGCCGGUCGAAGUCCCUUGGAACAGGGUGUCACAGAGGGUGAGAAUCCCGUACGUGGCCGGUGACCAAGCCCAUGUGAAACUCCUUCGACGAGUCGAGUUGUUUGGGAAUGCAGCUCAAAAUGGGUGGUAAAUUUCAUCUAAAGCUAAAUACCGGCCAGAGACCGAUAGCGCACAAGUAGAGUGAUCGAAAGAUGAAAAGCACUUUGGAAAGAGAGUUAAAAAGUACGUGAAAUUGUUGAAAGGGAAGCGCUUGCGACCAGACCUGCCCGUGGGUGCUCAGCGGGGGUUUGCCCCCGUGCACUCGCCCACGAUCAGGCCAGCAUCAGUUCCGGCGACCGGAUAAAGGCCCGAGGAAUGUAGCUCCCCUCGGGGAGUGUUAUAGCCUCGGGUGGCAUACGGCCAGCUGGGACUGAGGACCGCGCUUCGGCAAGGAUGCUGGCGUAAUGGUUGCAAGCGACCCGUCUUGAAACACGGACCAAGGAGUCUAACAUCUAUGCGAGUGUUUGGGUGUCAAACCCAUGCGCGCAAUGAAAGUGAACGGAGGUCAGAGCCCUUUAGGGUGCAUGAUCGACCGAUCCUGAAGUUUACGGAUGGAUUUGAGUAUGAGCAUAGCUGUUGGGACCCGAAAGAUGGUGAACUAUGCCUGAAUAGGGUGAAGCCAGAGGAAACUCUGGUGGAGGCUCGCAGCGGUUCUGACGUGCAAAUCGAUCGUCAAAUUUGGGUAUAGGGGCGAAAGACUAAUCGAACCAUCUAGUAGCUGGUUCCUGCCGAAGUUUCCCUCAGGAUAGCAGUAACGAAUUCAGUUUUAUGAGGUAAAGCGAAUGAUUAGGAGCCUAGGGGAUGUAACAUCCUUUACUCAUUCUCAAACUUUAAAUAUGUAAGAAGUCCUUGUUGCUUAAUUGAACGUGGACAUUUGAAUGUACCGUUACUAGUGGGCCAUUUUUGGUAAGCAGAACUGGCGAUGCGGGAUGAACCGAACGUGGGGUUAAGGUGCCGGAAUGCACGCUCAUCAGACACCACAAAAGGUGUUGAUUCAUCUAGACAGCCGGACGGUGGCCAUGGAAGUCGGAAUCCGCUAAGGAGUGUGUAACAACUCACCGGCCGAAUGAAUCAGCCCUGAAAAUGGAUGGCGCUCGAGCGUGCUACCUAUACCCCGCCGCCAGGGUAGAAACGAUGCCCUGGCGAGUAGGCAGGCGUGGGGGUCGGUGACGAAGCC